rnacentral:rRNA from 1 species
UCUGGGACAAGCCCUGGAAACGGGGUCUAAUACCGGAUAUGACUGUCCAUCGCAUGGUGGAUGGUGUAAAGCUCCGGCGGUGCAGGAUGAGCCCGCGGCCUAUCAGCUUGUUGGUGAGGUAGUGGCUCACCAAGGCGACGACGGGUAGCCGGCCUGAGAGGGCGACCGGCCACACUGGGACUGAGACACGGCCCAGACUCCUACGGGAGGCAGCAGUGGGGAAUAUUGCACAAUGGGCGAAAGCCUGAUGCAGCGACGCCGCGUGAGGGAUGACGGCCUUCGGGUUGUAAACCUCUUUCAGCAGGGAAGAAGCGAAAGUGACGGUACCUGCAGAAGAAGCGCCGGCUAACUACGUGCCAGCAGCCGCGGUAAUACGUAGGGCGCAAGCGUUGUCCGGAAUUAUUGGGCGUAAAGAGCUCGUAGGCGGCUUGUCACGUCGGUUGUGAAAGCCCGGGGCUUAACCCCGGGUCUGCAGUCGAUACGGGCAGGCUAGAGUUCGGUAGGGGAGAUCGGAAUUCCUGGUGUAGCGGUGAAAUGCGCAGAUAUCAGGAGGAACACCGGUGGCGAAGGCGGAUCUCUGGGCCGAUACUGACGCUGAGGAGCGAAAGCGUGGGGAGCGAACAGGAUUAGAUACCCUGGUAGUCCACGCCGUAAACGGUGGGCACUAGGUGUGGGCAACAUUCCACGUUGUCCGUGCCGCAGCUAACGCAUUAAGUGCCCCGCCUGGGGAGUACGGCCGCAAGGCUAAAACUCAAAGGAAUUGACGGGGGGCCGCACAAGCGGCGGAGCAUGUGGCUUAAUUCGACGCAACGCGAAGAACCUUACCAGGGCUUGACAUACACCGGAAACGUCUGGAGACAGGCGCCCCCUUGUGGUCGGUGUACAGGUGGUGCAUGGCUGUCGUCAGCUCGGUCGUGAGAUGUUGGGUUAAGUCCCGCAACGAGCGCAACCCUUGUCCCGUGUUGCCAGCAGGCCCUUGUGGUGCUGGGGACUCACGGGAGACCGCCGGGGUCAACUCGGAGGAAGGUGGGGACGACGUCAAGUCAUCAUGCCCCUUAUGUCUUGGGCUGCACACGUGCUACAAUGGCCGGUACAAUGAGCUGCGAUACCGCGAGGCGGAGCGAAUCUCAAAAAGCCGGUCUCAGUUCGGAUUGGGGUCUGCAACUCGACCCCAUGAAGUCGGAGUCGCAGUAAUCGCAGAUCAGCAUUGCUGCGGUGAAUACGUUCCCGGGCCUUGUACACACCGCCCGUCACGUCACGAAAGUCGGUAACACCCGAAGCCGGUGGCCCAACCCCUUGUGGGAGGGAGCUGUCGAAGGUGGGACUGGCGAUUGGG